AAUCAACGCUGGCGGCGUGCCUCAGACAUGCAAGUCGAACGAGAAAGUUUCCUUCGGGAGAUGAGUAAAGUGGCGCACGGGUGAGUAACACGUAGGUAAUCUACCUUCGGGUGGGGAAUAACCCAGGGAAACUUGGGCUAACACCGCAUAAUGCAGCGGCACCACAUGGUGACAGUUGUUAAAGCGGGGGAGUUUUAGGACCUCGCGCCUGAGGAGGAGCCUGCGGCGGAUUAGCUAGNGGUUAAGGUAACGGCUUACCAAGGCGACGAUCCGUAACCGGCCUGAGAGGGCGGGUCGGUCACACUGACACUGACAUACGGGUC
rnacentral:rRNA from 1 species